rnacentral:rRNA from 1 species
GAUGAACGCUGGCGGCGUGCCUAAUACAUGCAAGUCGAGCGAACAGACGAGGAGCUUGCUCCUCUGACGUUAGCGGCGGACGGGUGAGUAACACGUGGAUAACCUACCUAUAAGACUGGGAUAACUUCGGGAAACCGGAGCUAAUACCGGAUAAUAUAUUGAACCGCAUGGUUCAAUAGUGAAAGACGGUUUUGCUGUCACUUAUAGAUGGAUCCGCGCCGCAUUAGCUAGUUGGUAAGGUAACGGCUUACCAAGGCAACGAUGCGUAGCCGACCUGAGAGGGUGAUCGGCCACACUGGAACUGAGACACGGUCCAGACUCCUACGGGAGGCAGCAGUAGGGAAUCUUCCGCAAUGGGCGAAAGCCUGACGGAGCAACGCCGCGUGAGUGAUGAAGGUCUUCGGAUCGUAAAACUCUGUUAUUAGGGAAGAACAAAUGUGUAAGUAACUAUGCACGUCUUGACGGUACCUAAUCAGAGAGCCACGGCUAACUACGUG